GCUCCUGACAAAGAAAUAUAUUCACAUUAAUAACUUUUGUAAUAAGAAUAUUAUUUUAUUUAACAUAAGAGAAAUUGUUAUAGGCAUUUCAUAAAUUCAAAAAGCCUAUAAAAUCCAGCAACGUUCCACUUCCAACAAAGCCAGCACAAGGAACAAUAUUGAACAGAGAAAAAGUUGCAGCCAAAAAAAUAAAGAACACAGAAAAGAGUAAUAGAAAAAUGAUGAGAGACAAGUGUAAGGCAUGCCUGUUUGGUUACUGAGAAAGUAUUUUCUAGAUAGAGGGGAGAGAGAGAGAGAGAGAGAGAGAGAGAGAACAUCUGCAUCUGCAUUUGCAGCAGAGAGAUAAUCAUCAUCAAAAGUAUAGCCUGUUGAAGUAUAAAAACACAACCCAUGAACCAUCAAUCUCUGCAGAGAAAUCGCUGGCUGGGUCGGUUCAGUUUUCACUGAAAUG